rnacentral:rRNA from 1 species
CAGCCGUAAACUAUGCUCGCUAGGUGUCAGGCAUGGCGCGACCGUGUCUGGUGCCGCAGGGAAGCCGUGAAGCGAGCCACCUGGGAAGUACGGCCGCAAGGCUGAAACUUAAAGGAAUUGGCGGGGGAGCACAACAACGGGUGGAGCCUGCGGUUUAAUUGGACUCAGCGCCGGGAAGCUCACCGGAUAAGUCAGCGGAAUGAUUGCCGGGCUGAAGACUCUGCAUGACUAGCUGAGAGGUGGUGCAUGGCGUAGACGUCU